rnacentral:rRNA from 1 species
AACGAACGUUGGCGGCAUGGAUUAGGCAUGCAAGUCGGGGGAAUCCCGUAAGGGGGAACCGGCGUAAGGGGCAGUAAGGCAUGGGUACCUACCCGGGGGUUCGGGAUAGCCAUCAGAGAUGGUGGGUAAUACCGGAUGACCUCGUGAGAGCAAAGAUUCAUCGCCCCCGGAGGGGCCCAUGUGAUAUUAGCUAGUUGGUGGGGUAACGGCCCACCAAGGCGAAGAUGUCUAGCGGGUGUGAGAGCACGACCCGCGCCACUCGCACUGAGACACUGGCGAGACACCUACGGGUGGCUGCAGUCGAGGAUCUUCGGCAAUGGGGGCAACCCUGACCGAGCGAUGCCGCGUGCGCGAUGAAGGCCUUCGGGUUGUAAAGCGCUUUAGUGGGGGAGAAAAGCCGAAAGGUGUGAUCUAUCCCAAAAAUAAGCUCGGGCUAAGUUCGUGCCAGCCGCCGCCGUAAUAC